CGUCAAGUCCUCAUCGGCCUUUAUGACCAGGGCUACACACGUACUACAAUGGCCGGUACAAAGGGCAGCCACUUAGCGAUAAGGAGCCAAAUCCCGUAAAGACCGGUCUCAGUCCGGAUUGGAGUCUGCAACUCGACUCCAUGAAGUUGGAAUCGCUAGUAAUCGCAGAUCAGCACGCUGCGGUGAAUACGUUCCCGGGCCUU
rnacentral:rRNA from 1 species